UACGGAGGGUGCAAGCGUUAAUCGGAUUUAUUGGGCGUAAAGGGCGCGUAGGCGGGCCGUUAAGUCAGAUGUGAAAGCCCGGAGCUCAACUCCGGAAUAGCAUUUGAAACUAGCGGUCUUGAGGGUAGGCGGAGAAAACGGAAUUCCACAAGUAGCGGUGAAAUGCGUAGAUAUGUGGAAGAACACCUGUGGCGAAAGCGGUUUUCUAGCUUAUACCUGACGCUGAUGCGCGAAAGCAAGGGGAGCAAAC
rnacentral:rRNA from 1 species